rnacentral:tRNA from 1 species
GCUCCUAUAGCCCAGUUGGUUCAGCAGCUGGUUUACAACCCAGAGGUCUCAAGUUUGAAUCCUGCUGGAGACA